rnacentral:rRNA from 1 species
AUGUUUAUAAAAAUGUACCAAGGUGGUUCUUCAAGGAAGAUAGGACCCAGGCCCGCAAUGCGUGAGCCGGACGAUGAACCACCGAGGGACGCUCAAGUGCGGCCUUGUGAAUGGCCAAGGCCGUCAGAAGAUUUCAUGGUCCAAGCAGGAAUCAAGGAUGAAUUGGACGCAUAUGUGCGUAACGCCGAUUUUGAGAGCUUCAUGGCACAUAAGUGCCGUCAGUACCACUACCUCACUGAUUUCUUUGUGAGAAGGUUUCAAUUUUCAUCAUCACGCAAUUCUCAAACUAUCAUGUUUGAUCUUUAUGAUAAAUCUUAUACCAUGGACUUAGAAGAUUUUAACACUGCUUGUAAACUCCCACAGUGGGGUAAUGUUAGUGAACCUCGCAAAUUUGAAUAUAGAGACUUUCUUGCUAGUAUAACUGUGGGGGAAUUUAGGAAAAUCACGCAAGCUACCAUAGGGAGCAUUCAUUUUCCUGCUAUACAUUAUUUUGCUCUCUUUAUAGGUAGAUGCAUAAAUGGUAAGGAUGAGGCAUGUCACAUGUGUGUGCCAGAUCUUAGUGUUCUCAAGAGUGCUAUAUUAGGAGAUAGACAAUAUAACUUGGGGGGCCAUUGUUGCACGCAGGUUGCAUAA